rnacentral:rRNA from 1 species
UACGAAGGGUGCAAGCGUUACUCGGAAUUACUGGGCGUAAAGGGUGCGUAGGUGGUUGUUUAAGUCUGCUGUGAAAGCCCCGGGCUCAACCUGGGAAUGGCAGUGGAUACUGGACAGCUAGAGUGCGGUAGAGGGUAGUGGAAUUCCCGGUGUAGCAGUGAAAUGCGUAGAGAUCCGGAAGAACACCAGUGGCGAAGGCGGCCCGCUGGGCAGUGGCUGACGCUGAGGCGCGACAGCGUGGGGAGCAAACAGG